rnacentral:rRNA from 1 species
GAUGAACGCUGGCGGCGUGCCUAAUACAUGCAAGUCGAGCGAACAAACGAGGAGCUUGCUCCUCUGACGUUAGCGGCGGACGGGUGAGUAACACGUGGAUAACCUACCUAUAAGACUGGGAUAACUUCGGGAAACCGGAGCUAAUACCGGAUAAUAUAUUGAACCGCAUGGUUCAAUAGUGAAAGACGGUUUUGCUGUCACUUAUAGAUGGAUCCGCGCCGCAUUAGCUAGUUGGUAAGGUAACGGCUUACCAAGGCAACGAUGCGUAGCCGACCUGAGAGGGUGAUCGGCCACACUGGAACUGAGACACGGUCCAGACUCCUACGGGAGGCAGCAGUAGGGAAUCUUCCGCAAUGGGCGAAAGCCUGACGGAGCAACGCCGCGUGAGUGAUGAAGGUCUUCGGAUCGUAAAACUCUGUUAUUAGGGAAGAACAAAUGUGUAAGUAACUAUGCACGUCUUGACGGUACCUAAUCAGAAAGCCACGGCUAACUACGCG